rnacentral:piRNA from 1 species
GUGAGUAGACUGUAGCCCUGGUC